rnacentral:rRNA from 1 species
GGUCAAGUGAAGAAGCGCAUACGGUGGAUGCCUUGGCAGUCAGAGGCGAUGAAAGACGUGGUAGCCUGCGAUAAGCUUUGGGGAGUCGGCAAACAGACUGUGAUCCAGAGAUCUCUGAAUGGGGGAACCCACUCAGCACAAGCUGAGUAUCUUGUACUGAAUACAUAGGUGCAAGAGGCGAACCAGGGGAACUGAAACAUCUAAGUACCCUGAGGAAAAGAAAUCAACCG